UUUUGGUAUCCAGGGUACCUCUGAGUAGUAGAUUUUUGAUCUCUAGCCCAUCCUCAAAACUGAAAACCAAUCCUCCAUUUCUCCAGGGUUUACCUUUUCAUCACUUGAAGACCAGUGGUUACAUGAUUUGGACCCACUGAGGAAGGUUAGAAUGAUAUCAGUUCAAAAGUAUUGGAUACCUGUGGAGCACUUUGCAAGAUAUUACAGGAUUUUCUGGGCUUUCUAUAGAACUACACAGAAGUAUUGCUGAGUACUUUGCAAUAUGAAUUCUUGCAAUUUGCAGGAAUUUGUCACGCUUUUCAGGUGAUCACACUAGGUAAGUGCUUCAUUUUUAUCUCAAUUGGUUUGAUUUUGUGCUUUCAUUAUAUUAUUGCAUUUAAGUUUUACAUACUUGGGGGUUUACGUUUUUUAACCGAUCUUUAAUCCCAUCUCUUCUGAUGAGCACCUGACUCAGCCUAGCUAUAUCUUUAAUUGAUGCUCUCUUCAACUCUAUCUACAAAAUUGCAAUUCCAUGAUCUGCCUAAAGAGAUAGGCAGUUUAAUCAAUGUACAAGUUACUCUACUUAUUUUAAAUAAAUGCCUUUCAGACUUAGUAAACACCAUUAAGGGAAACAUGGAUGGUUUAAAAUAAGGUAAGUGAUUUAUGUUUCCUUAAAUGAAGUCCUUAAAUUCAUUUAACAAAAGAAAUACUUAUUUACAUGACCCUUAGAAAAUUUAUUUUUGUGUAAAACAUGCUUUUGUUUUCAGAAUUCCAUAAUUCAGCAAAAUUCCUUUAAGACAGAUUGAAAGUACACCCUUGUUGGCAGUUGUUAGAUCUUCCGGUAAAAUUCUAGGGUUCUAAAUUUAGAAGAAGGCUAAGAUAGCAACCCCCGUCUCCCCAUAAUAUUUUCUAUAACCUAAAAUUUAAUUAGCAAAAGGGAAUAGUUUGAUUAUUAUUGCACUUAACAUUUGAAAACUAAAGUUCCCUAGCUCUUUAAAUUUUAAGACAUAUAAGUGAAUGGGUGCCAAACAAUUACUGGGUUUUAUGAAUCAGUGUAAAAAUUUUAAUUAAACUUUCAGAGCUACCUAACUUGCAGCCAUAAAUGAAUGCGAGUGUUGGGAGAAUAAGGUUCAUCACACUUCAUUUCUAAGAAAUGAAGCUCCUGGGGACUCCCCCUGCUCCAUCCCAGUGAGAAGAUGAUAGCUGUCUGCUUCACUUUGUUUAUGCCCAACUCCUAAUCACUAGUUGGUACAGAGUCAGAAUUAAAACUCAAGUCUUUAGCCCAAAGAUCUUUCCACAAUUGCGCCUCUCUUGCAUGCUCUGCUUUAGCACUGAUAGAUAACUGAAAUCUAUCAAACACAAAUAUCUAGUCUAUUCAAUUUUGGAGAAGAGUAAAAACAUGACCUCUCUCCUACAAAUUGGUGAGCUUGGCUUUUCGCACUAGAGUACGAGAGUGCUUGGUUGAUCCCAAGCAAUAAAGCUUCAGGGUGUUAUAAAACAUCAUUAAUUGCCAGAGCUGCUUACCCAUGGACCGCAUUUUUCGUGGGAGUCUCACCUUCGAUAUUCUUUUCUCUUGUUCCUAUAAAUUUACUGAUACUGAUCAGAUAGUGGAUGCAAAUUUCUUAUCUCAGAAAUUCAGUUAUGUAACUAUAGGAUUCCUUUAAAUGGCAAGAAUCCUUAGUGAAUUUAAACUAUUGUUUGAUUCAGAAAAUUAUCAAUACUUAAAAAAAAAUCUCCCUCUCCAAUAGCCCCAAACUCCCACCAUUAGUCAAAAUUUGAGUUAAGUCACUGAAAAGCUCUCCUUUAAAUGUCAAUAUAAUCAUAAUAAUAAUUACCAUUUGUUGAAUGCCUACAGAGGGGCAGACUAGGUGCUUUACAUACAUUACAUCUUUAAUCCCCAAGUCUGUCAUUCAAAGUCUGCAUUAUUAUCCUUAUUCUAAAGAUCAGGAUAAGCAACUUGCCCAAGGCCACACAGCUAGUAAGUCCUAGGGCCAAGGCUUGAAUCCAGGUCUCUGUGUUUCUUUUCAUUUCUCCCUGUAAGAUGGAGUAAUGAAUGCAUAAAGCUAUGCUGAUCAAUGACACCAAGUCCACACUACUUUAAGAUAAAUUCAGGUCCUAAAAUAAUGGCCCCGGGAAACAUGCCACAAGACAGACACUUAUGGUAGAGUGUAAAGACUUGAGUUCAUUUCCUUCAUGGUUUUACUUCAAAUCCAAUGGCUUUGCUCGCUUCACUUAAUAUUUUGCAUGUUUUGGCAAGCCAGGGUAGAAUUGGCUCUUUUUGGUUACUCAGUCUAUUUCUCUUCAUUCAAAUGUAUGCUGUGAUGCGGAACCGAAGUCUAAGAAUUCCAGCGGCAUCUAGUGACAAAGAAGGAAUAGCCAAUGACCACCUGUUAGGCAGUCAAAGACAGCAGAAGGACCACAGCUGAGCCUGUAUUGGCCAUGUGUCAGCAUAUUCUCCUCCCAAGUUGUAGCGCCCUGGGGUAACCAGGACUCCACUGCUUCUGUGCAGUGAUUCAGUGUAAAGAGUAGGGUUUCCUACCAAACUUAUAUCAGGUUUCACCAACAUGAACAGAGUCCUCAUGUGCCCUCAUGUGGUAUCCCAGCAGGGGAGAGGUAUUUGUUUGAAAGCAUUUUGCAACUUGUGUCACAUGGUGGCUGGAUGGUUACUGAUGAUCAUAACCUCAGUACCUGCAGUUCCCCAGAACGGCCUCUGUAUCUUUGUACAUAUCGUUCCCCUUCUUAGAUGGUCUUCCCUUCCUGUCUUUAUGAGGCUAAUGUCUGCACACCCUUCAGGAUUUGGCUUCAAUGUUGCCUCCUCUGACCCUCAAAGCUGGAUUUAAUGAUUUCCCAUGUGUCCCCAUAGUAACCCAAUGCCUGCUGUACUGGUAGCCGUUAUCGCUAAUCUGAAAAUGGCACUUUAAAUGAUCUUUCUCUCCUAGAAGACUAAGAUCGUUGAAGGCAGGGACUCAGAGACAAUGCUGCAUCUAAUUAGCAUGGACUUUGGAAUCAGACAAAACUAGUUUUAAAUCCUGACUUCAGCAUUUACUCACCUGCCUUACUCUGGGUAAGGUUUACCUUGGAUUAAAGAACCACCCAGAGCUUUGGCUUCCACAUCUUCACGGCCGUGAUAAUAAUAAAAACUAUCUUGUUGAGUUGUUUUGAGGAUUAAUGGCAAUAACGAACAUAAGGUACUUAAGUCAGGGCUUGGUAUAUAAUACAUGUGCAAUGAAGGGGACAGAUAUUUAUUCAUUGUUAUACCACAGUUUCUACCAUACUACUUGUUUAAUCAAUAUAUUUGGAAUUUACAUUGUGUCAGAGAGCUUGAAAAACAUAGCAGUUGACUACGCCUAAUCUGAAGCUCCACUAUUGGCUCUUACAGGGGCCUCAGGUCUUUCUGUUGUCUUUUUGUGCCACUGUGAAUAGUUGAUCAUUGCUUGUUUGGUGCUAAAUCCCGCUCCCCCCCCCCCCCCCCCGCCCCCCCUCCAUUCAACAUCAGCACUUCCUGCAUUUUUGCUCAAAGUUAGCAGGAGGGAGAAAAGCAAGACAUAUAUAAGUUUUAAUUGGAGAUCAAACCCAAGGUCUAUACAGGGCCCAAAGGAUUUAUCAAUAAGCCCAUCAUUUUCACACAUGUCAACCAGACUGCAAGCUCCAAGAGACUGAGAAUUGCAAUUUUUGUUCACUAUGGCAUUGCUGGCACAUUGUAUGGGUCUGACACAUAGUUCAUACUCAAUAAAUAUUUGAAGAAUGAAGGAGUAAAUAUAUCUGAAAGGUAUGAAUCAGUUCAGUUUCUGUUAGGAACCAUUUAUCCCUGUGUUUCACCACUUUGGGCCAACUUCUGAAACAUUUUACUUACAUGUACAUAAGAAAUCCGUGGAAUGAUGCAGAGGGGACUUCUUACAGAACCUGUAUUCAUUUUACUCAACGUCUAAAAGAUUCCCUCUUGUUCUAUUAUUUUCAGGAUUUUGUGAACAUGUUUACAUUAACGAUAUUAUUCGUGAUUUGUAGGUUUUGUCCAUGUGACUCCCUGUUUUGGCCUUUCUGGGCUCAAAGGACUGAAACAUUGAGACCUUCCCAUGUAAAGCAUCCCUUUACUCAUUUCAAUCAUAGUGGUUCAAAUCUACACUUACAAGGUACAUUCAAUACUGUCAAAGCCAGGCACUAUGCAAAGUGCUGAGAAUACCAAGACCCUUCUCUGGUCCAAUCACAAUCUUCCUUGGGUUUGGGUUGUGAUUCAAAUUCCCCUCGACAUGGAGCACAUUGUAGAAUGAGGUCAUAGUUUGUUUGGGGUUUGUUCCCUUUUUUUUUUAAUAUUUAUUUAUUUUUUAGACAGAAAGACAAAGUAUGAGUGGGGGAGGGGCAGAGAGAGAGAGAGGGAGACACAGAAUCUGAACCAGACUCCAGGUUCUGAGCUGUCAGCACAGAGCCCAAUGUGGGGCUUGAAAUCACGAACCUUGAGAUCAUGACCUCAACCGAAGUCAGAUGAUUAACCGACUGAGCCACCCAGGUGCCCCUGGGGUUUUGUUCCUAAUCACCUUGCUGGAGAUGCUGCAUUUGUACUGGCUUCUUGGAUGCUUCUCUAUUGACUUCUUGUGCUGGCUUUUCUCUCCACAUGCACGAUCCACUCCAUUGUUCAAGACUUUACUCCAUCUCUAAAACCCCUACCAGGGGGGAGGCAGCAUUAUCUCAAGAGUCUCAUUGUAUUUCCACCUGUGUUAUUGUACAGAGCCUGUUGUUUGUUUGUUUUUCCUAAGUUUGCAGGAGCCCAGUUCUUGUUCUCUUUCUGCAUGGCACUAAGGAGAGCACUAGAUUUGGAGUCAAGACAUGAGUUCCAUACGUAAUUCAGCUGCAUCUUAGCUGCAUGACCUUGUACAGAGUGUUUAACCGUAUGAGUUUCUUUACCUGAAAACAAAGUUAAAACCUAUCUCACAAGUGUUCUGUGAGAAUUAAAACCUACUACAUAUGAAACCAACAUACAAUUGUACACAGAUCACAAAUAUAAAUUGUUAUUCAUUAUCAUCUGCAGUGACUUUUAGAGGAUUUCUAUAGAUAUACAGGGAUAUAUACCCUUUUAGAAGCUCAAAGAGUGGGUCCACCAGAGCAUAAAUUUCCCAAUGUCUACAUGAGAACUUCACUUAACAGAGUGGAUUUGUUUAAAGAUUAAUGAAAUUGUCUUUGUAAAAGCAAUGUCACUUUCUUGAAGGCAAGAAACUUUUUCAUGAGUUUAUAGUUAGCAGAGAAGAAAUAUUAGAGAAACAAAGGAAGAGACAGUUUUUUUUGUUUUUGUUUUUGUUUUUGUUUUUUUGUUUUUGGACUUCUCCAGCUUGUGCUGUAGCUGAACUAGGAAAGAAUAAAGAAUGUUCUCUCUCAACAAUUCGCUCCAUAAAUGUGUAAUUUAGCCAACUGUCCAAUCAACAAACAGUUAUCGGAUGUUUGUUCUGUGGGUAGCAUGAUGUUUAUCUAGAAGUAGUUUUCCAGUUGUUAAAUUUAGACUUUUGUAUUUAUUAAUGCAAAAACAUUAAAUUCUCAGUCUUUAGCCAAAAUACAGAGUAAAAUGCAGCUGUGGAUAUGGAAAAAAAUGAAUAAGACAUGAUUUCUGUCUUCAAGGCACUUAUAAUUUAGUUGGGGAGAGAGAUAAGUAAGGAAUUCACCAUAAUCUGAGCUACAAUAAAACAAAAACAUAAAUAAAAAAUAAAGAACCACUAGGAGGUAGGAAAGAAAGGUGAGGAGAACACUGAAGAGCAGCAUGCCUGUGGGAGAAUUAAACAAAGAAAUUCCGGUCUUAUAAACUCUCCUAUGCCUCAAUUUUGAAUUGGAGCAGACUAUAUGGUGCUUUCUAAAGAAAGUUUUAUGUAGAAAAUAUAAGCCAUUCAUUUCAAUAGUCUCAUCUCAAAGAAGCUGACUUUAUACAAGAAAUAUUAAAAUGUAAACAAUACAAAAAUCCAAGGAAUUGAGGUGACUGGGGGGCUCAGUCGGUCAAGUGUCUUGGACUCUUGAUCUCUGCUCAGGUCGUGACCUCAUUGUUGGAGAGACUGAGCCCUGAGUCAGUCUCUGUGCUGACAGGGCAGAGCCUGCUUGGGAUUCUCUCUCUCUCUGCCCCUCCCCUGCUCCCAUGCGCUCUUUUUCUCUCUCAAAGGCAAACAAGCAUUUUUUUUUUAAUCGAAAGAAUUAUUUUGAGGAUACUGGGAGCCACACAUAAGCGUGUGCACACGGAGCCAACGCUCCUCACUAGAUAUGGAGGUUGUAGCGAUGCCAAUGAGGACAGAAUAAGACUCAGUAUAGAAGACUCCGUAGAACAUCUUGCCUAAAUCAUCCAAAAUUGAUACUUAGCAUAGAGUGAAGUCUACUUAUUUUUUAUCUUUCUACAAUAUUCUGUACAUUAGAGAUAACCCUACAGUAACUAUAUAAUUAAAUUAAAUGUUCUAUAACAUUAAUUUCAAGUAGCAAUGCAUAGAAGGAAUUAUUUGGGUAAUAUCAAUCGACUAUAUAAAUAAUGCCCUCAAAGUCCUUUUAAUUACUUUUGUUUUACUUUUUGACAAGUAUCUAUAUCUUAUGGAUGAAAAUAGAUACCUAAAGGAACUAUGUUGACAUAAUUCAAAUAUUUAAAGCAAAUAUCUUUAAAAAGAUUUUUUUAAUGUUUAUUUUCGAGAGACAGAGAGAGAGAGAGAGAUGGAGAGAGAACGUGAGCAAGGGAGGGACAGAGAAAGAAGGAGACACAGAAUCCAAAGCAGGCUCCAGGCUCUGAGACGUCAGCACAGAGUCUGACAUUGGGCCCAAAUCCACAGACCGCAAGAUCAUGACCUGAGCCAAAGUCAGAAGUGCAACUGGCUGAGCCACCCAGGCAUCCCUAAAACAAAUAUCUUAUAGUUGAUUUGCUUAACCAUAGGUUUUCACUUAUAAAAGUCAGGAGUGUGUUUUCUUACAACUGUCAAUUUUCUGGGCUUCAAACUAUUUCAAACCCCACUUGUUACAAAAAGCUUCUCCAUUACAUAAAGGCAGAAUAGACCUGCUUGUCCUCUGGCAUUCAGAGCAAAACUCUGGACUUUAACCUUACCUAGGAUCCUAUCUCCUCUUGGGCAUAAAUAAAGAAGACACAUCAAUCUAAAGUUAUUUCAUUCUACCAACAAUGCCAUGGCUGAAUGGACCAUACACAGUAAUAUCACAGGCAAAAUAGGACCAUCAACAAAAAAAAUCAGACAGUCCAUCCAGCACUAAGACUUGCAGCCCCUGGAUGGGGCAUGGAAAGCAUGGAAUAUGUAUGAAAAAAUACUGCAACACCUUGGGGUUUUUUUUAUGACAAAGAGAAGGUUGUAGAUGUUGUCGAUACACGUUAAUCAAAAACGUUCCAAUCCUGUUCAGUGUGACUUAGUAAUAGUAGGCCAUUAGCACUGAGGGUGCAAGAAUGGAAUGGAAGAAGGGAGUCCUAGCCUGCCAGUAACAGAUUUUAUGAUAUUGAGUCACCAGAACCUCAGUUUUCCCAUCUAUGAGAUGGCGAUGAUGCUGUCUCGCUCACAAAGUUGAAGGAUCCAAAGGAAUAAUCCAUGUAAAACACUAAGAUCCCAAAGCAUUGAACAGAUAUUACACAUAGAAAGAUGCUUUGAAAAUAGUACAGCACUGUAGAUAUCAAACCAUUACCGUUAUUAAAUGGGAUAAUUACCCAGUAGAAAAUCCUAGUAACUUAUAUUUGGGGAAGGUAGCUUGAGUUAAAAUGGCUACAGUCUGUAUAUGACUGUAAUAAUAUUUUUACUAUAUUAACAGUUGAUCUUCUAAAUCUUUGGUUUCUCUUUUUCUAGUAGGGAUGUUAUAGAUGUUAAAUACUUUAAUAAAUCAUAAAAUUCAUAAAUAAUUAUUUCCAUAGGUAUCUUCUAGCCAGGACUUUCUCCCAAAGACGUGUAAUAGGUUUUGCUGUUGAUUUUAACCCCCAAAUGAUAAGAUGUUCUCCUUGCUGCUCUUUCACAUACAGCUCAGUUGUAGGAUACGGUGCCUGUCAUGACAGACCGGACACCGGCAGCCCCCGUGUCAUGUGCCUUUUCUAACCAUUUACCCGUGGGCACUCAUGCUCUCUGGGCUGAGUGUUCCCUGUGGCCCUUGUCAGGGGGAACUUGCUCUCCGGUUACCGUAAGCUGGUGUGACCUUCAGAUCAGGGGAGCUUAGCUCACUUUUAGGUUUCAUCAGUUGUUUAUCUGAAAAAUGUAAAUGGGGAAAAGGGGUGGGUUCAGUGGGAAUUUGGGUCAGGUAAGGAUGGAGGACAAGAAACAUUACUGAAGUAAUUGCCCUAAAUUAAUUGCACAUCGUCUGCUGAGUGGCCAUGAGGAAGGACGCGUAGACUAAGCUGGAGGCAGUGGGGUGUUUCCAGGGCAUGGGGAAGGGGGCGAGGGGCUCACCUGCCCUGCUACUGCUGGACAGAAAUACUCCCCUACAAUCCACAGGGCUUCUCUGAAGAUAGUUUGAGGGGUUAUUCGUUGAGAUCUUUGAGGUAUAGAAAAGAAGAGGAAUUAAUUUGGCAAACUUAUUCCCUCCAACUUCCAUUCAUUAAGGGAAACUGACACCUUUUGCAUAUCUGAGGUAUGCACAUUAACACGGAAAGAUACAUUUUUAAAUAAGCUGAACUUGUACUAAAUUCCAUUAAGCUUCUUUUCCCCAUCAUAUCUGUAAAAAGAAGAAAAGAAACACGCUUCACUUACAAAAAUAUCCUUUUAUUUCUGCUCCAAGAGCAUGAUAUCUGCCAAAGCCAUACAUUUCCAGUAUGACAAAGGGAAAACGUGGUUGGUCUCCACCCAAGUUAAUUCGGAGAUAUGAGCUCCAGUUUUAUAACAAAGUGGAGCUGUCUGAUCCCAGUUAUGCUUCCCGUCUGAGAAGGGGAAGAAAUAUUGGGGAGAGCAGGAGUUUUAAAGACUAACAGACCUCGGUUUGAAUCUUUCCUCGGCCACUCACUCUGUGUGUGUGACUUGAUGCUCUGGGCCUCACUUACUUUGCCUUUAAAAUGGGCAUAUUUGUAAUAUUAAAUUUAGGGAUUAGCUAAUGUAAAGCCCUAAACUCUGUGCCUUGUCUGGCCCAUGGGAGGCAUGUAAUAGAUAAUCCUCACUAUCUUAAGAGUGAAGCUGGCAUGAAUUCAGUUGUAAUAAAUAUGUUAUCAUCAUUGGAAUCUCAAAUAUAAUGCAGACAUUUUUAAAAUAUGGAAAUCCCAUGCUGUAAGUGAUGUAGAAAAGCUUGAACACAUGGGCCAUGAUGUCUUUACAACCUGUUCAAAUCUUUAUUUGGUUUAACUGAGGUUUAUUUGAGUUUGGAUGAAGAGUGGACCUAGGUGGGCAAAUUUGACAAUAGGAGACGCACCGUGCUUUGUUUCAGUUUCCCACUCUGGAUUCCUGAAGAGAUCAUCCUAGUCAAAACCUUCUGAGUUUAGCACAAAGCAGGUUCUGUUUCUGACGAAAGCGCGCAGCCUGUUUAACCUGCACAAAAAUAUUUCAAGGGUAACUGGAAAAUACGUAAGAGGAUUCAGAUGUUUCGUGACAUACAUUUAAAAUUCUUCCACUUCUAAAUGAGAGCUCCAUAAGAUGCGGAAGCAAAAGUGCAUCCAAAAAGGAGGGUGCUUUGAGGCAGGCAUUUGGAGAGCUAGUAAGUUAUUAUUUGAAAAAUAAUCCUCAAAGGAGGAUCAGGAGAAGAAAGCAUGUAAGUGAGGGGCCCAGAGGCUGAGAGUCUGCAUUUGCAAAUGAGACUUGCAGUAGGGACUUGACCUGUUCAAAUAAUUUUACCACAUUCUAGACUGGCGUGUGGACUACCAGUUACCAAGCCUCUUACUGAAUGUCUGUGAGAGCAUGCUCCCCUACAAGCAGUGCAAAUGCCAGGGAGCCAUGAACCUGCUUUCGGCGUGCGUGGGUUGCACGCGUAGGGUGAGGAACUUCCUGCAGGUGCUGCUCUAGUGGGGGGGGGGGCAUUCUGCAGAAAGAUCUACAGAGAUAGACUCAAUCAGUCUACUUAGAAAGCAAAGUGUCAGCAAGAUUGCAGCUGAGUCAACAGUAGCAAAAUGCCAAGCUACCAGGCAAGGAAGGGCAAUAAUAAUAAUAAUAAUAACAGUUUCCUAUUCAAAGACAGCCCAGUAUGUACCUGGUAUGUGCCAGUAUGUACCACUUCAGCUUAUAUAUUAUUUGGAUUUUUGCUGCAACUCUGUAAGGAAGUAUCUAUUAUUACUCCCGAUUUAUAGAUGAGGAAACUGAGGCUUGGGUGGUUUAGUGACUUGCCCAAUGUCAUAACUAGGCAGUGGUGAAUGUGUAAUUUGAAUUCAUGUGUGCCUGGCUGCAAAACCUCUGUUUACUUAUGGGCAUAAGAAUAUAAUAACAAAGGGGGCACCUGGCUGGCUCAGUCGAUAGAGCAAGCAACUCUUGAUCUCAGGGUCCCGAGUUCCAGCCCCAUAUUGGGUGUGGAGCCCACUUAAAAAAAAAGAAUAUAAUAACACAAAGAGAACAAAAUAAAAUGUAUGUAUGCUCAUAAGUUUUUGCCUCCGACAUCCAAGAGACUCCUUUGUGUUGUAAGGCUCGGCUGGCCCAAGAGCCCGCCUGACUUUACAGAGAUCUUUAAACGCACCUCAUCAUUUUUUCCUAACUUUUCUGACACCUUCCUGUUUGGAAUAUACUUGAAAGGCAGUACAAUCUAUCAUCCCUUUCCUUCCUCCCAAGUGUUAUUUUAAAAAUAUUUAACAAUUGCAUCUCCUUCUAAAUCUGUUUUCUUUUGUUAACCCCAGAACUAAGGGGGUGUUAAGGGUAGAGGCUAAGCCGUUGUAACAAAGCAUCUGUGAUAGACAAUGGCAGAAAGAAGAUGAGAAGUUUAUUCAGCUCUCCUGACCGUCUAGAGGACAGUGGUUCGUGCCUGAUGGGCAGCUUUGGCACCCUUAAUGCUUCGUUCCAAGGUUGUUUGAGCUGUCACUCUCCCAGACAGCAGCAAGGAUGAAAGGGAAAAUGCAUGGCAAGUGGCUUCAUCUUUGAAGAGAUGACCCAGCAUGGCACACAUUGCUUCAGCUCUCAUCUCAUUGGCUCAAAUGCAGCCCUCAAGGGAUGUACCUAGUUGCAAGGAAGUCUGGGAAACACAGACUUUAGUUGGGCAGUCAAGUGCUUAUCUGAAACCCAGGUCUUCUCCUACUAAAGGGAAUAGCAAGAGAGUGGACGCUGGGGACAAACAGCUGACUCUGUGACAAUCUGUUUUUCGUCUGGUCACCAGUCUGGUUCUGACUGUUACAUGAGGCGAUAGAAGUAUUAAGUACCAAUCUUAAAUGCUCUACUUCUAAACAGUGAGCUCAGUGCCAGGAAUCUUAAAACAAUAAGCAAAUAAAACUAAAGCAAUCUGAGGAUCACGUUUGUGGGCUUCUAGGACACUUAGACCCCUUCACCGGCAAAAUGUCUGUGGUCCGACCUUCAUCAAGCUGGUUGGGUUGCCAGUUAUUAGGGAGAGUUGUUUAUAAAGAGCUGCCAAAUAUUUUAUUUGUUUCUCAGCAUGCAUGAAUAAUAUAUUGAUACAAAUGUCCAUGUCAUGAAUUGGGGGUUUGUUUAGAAAUUAUAGAAUGAAAUUGAUGAAAGAGAUCCUGUCUAAUUCCAUAUUCUAACAGAUGAGGAAAUGGGAAUGCAGAGUAGUUAAAUGAUUUAUUUAAAAUAACAGAGUUGGCUAAUGAAAAAGUAUUUUGUGAAAGAGUUAUAUUUGCAGUAGUGUCUAUUCAGGGCUAAUAGGGUGAAUGAAUGAAUGAAUGAAUGAAUGAAUGAAUGUUUGACUAAAUAUUAAAUAAAUCUGAAAGGUAGAGCGAGAAGUCACUGAGAACCUCAAAGUAAGCAAAGAAAUUGUCAUUUUCAGGUAAAUGAAUGGAUGGCAGAUUAAAAGGUCACAUGGCAGUCAGACUUAAAUUUUGUGAGACUUAAAUUUUAAAUGGGCCACCCUGAACUAGACAUUUACAUUUAAUUUUUCCUGGGAACUGUUUUGGCUUUGCCUAUAAACACAGCAUCAUGACAGCAUGUAGGUUUCCUCUUCUAAAGCUCAGCUCAUUCCAGAAUUCAAUCAGGUUAGGUCAGAUACCUUGAAAACCAUGAACAGAAUCUUCAAAAGAAACCCAGCACAACUUUUUGAAAAUGUAUUUUUCCUAUUAUUAAGACAGGGCACUGUCUUGCUGAGCUGUUUUUUCCUGGACCUCGACAAGUGUUUCAUGAGUCACCUUUGCUCAGCCUGACAGCGGAAUGGUUCAGAAGGUCACAGCCUUCUUCGUGGCUCUAAAAACCUGUACAUUCCUGGAACGAGGGGCAUUGUUUCAUUGGAAGAAAGCUAAUUAGGUUAAAGGAUACAUUAAUGAGCUCUGCAGUAGUCCAUACACAGUAAAUAAAGAGGAGAAAGGAUAACAAGGAAAAGAAAGUCAAAACACAUAAUGAAAGCCUUAGAAAGUUGAGUUUUCACACAUAAAACUAUCUGAAGAAAACCAGAAAGAAAAAUUAAUUUGCUUCUUCAGUCCUUAGAACCUUGGUUUUGUGACACUCCAGGAUGUCCCCAAUUAUCUCAACGAAUGUCAUGAAAUGUUCCAAAGGAUUCUCAAAAUGAAAUUAGUUUUAUUUCAUUUAAAAAUAGAUGGCCAGUAGCUCUUUCAAGAGUAACGGAAUCAAAUGAGCAUUUGGCUGCCACCAGCUCUAAAGGUUUCCAAGCACCAGGUUAGGGCUGAUGAAAGAGGCACAGCCAUUUUGGAAUGGAAAUUUUUAAUACUUCUCUAGACAUUUUAAUCCCCCAAAUCCCUUGAGAUUUCUUCAAAAACAAACAAACAAACAACAGAGUAACAAUAAUAAUGAUGACACUGUUCAGAUGUUUACUUCACAAAUUGACCUCAUGGGGGAGGGCAGGAGAUUCUUAGAACAUAAGAGCAUCAGAAGGGAACUUUGAGGUCAAUUUUAUUUGACUCCCUCCCUUAAGGAACAGGAAACCUGAACCAAGAGGAUGUGGUGGCUUAUCCCAACCCACCCAGUGAGUUAAGGACCAUGGUUUCCCAUUCAGCCAUACUGCUGUCCUCUGCCUUGUGGGAUGUGCAAUACUCAGAAUUAGAAGUGAAUUUUACCAGCCUUAAUAAGCAUCCUUGGUUUGACUUUCACUGAGAUAAGUGUCAAAUAUCAUCCCAAUUUUCAAAUGGAGAAACUGAGUUCUAGAUGGGUAAAGUCUUCUACCUAACAAAUAGAACAUUUAAGAAAUGGAUUUUGUUUUCAAGUCAGCCUUGAAGUCAUGGUGAGUAGAGGGCUGUAAUGAGACAUGAGCAUAAAGAAAAGUCAUAAACACAACCAACCAUUAAGACAUGACUGAGCAAUUAGAUAUAUAUGGGACUCCAUUCAACCUUUACUUGAAAUCUGACUACACUGAGAAAAGUCCAUAGUGCUCUAUAAUACAUGGAAACCCAAGUUCAUGAUGGAAGCUGAGUAGAUCAAAGGUGCUAAUUAACACUACUAGUAAAUUGUUUGCUUAGAAAAAUUUGUAUAGUUCUACUUCAUGCUAUUUUAUAAACCUUUGCCAAAGCAACCUGUUUUAGAAUUAUUUAAGUGCCGUAAAUAUCUUCUUCUUUACCCUCUUUGUACAAGCAUAGAACCCCAGGAUUUAAAAGGUCAUUUAGUUCAAUCUCUGACUCAAAACAAAAGUCCUUUCUUCAGCAUUCCAGCAAGCCAGGCUCUGUUUGGCCAUCCUCCGUAACAAGGUAAUGCCUGAUCACGGAACCACCUCUAAUGGAAAAGAAUGCACAGAAAUCGGGCUGGGAAAAAGUAGGCAUUCAUGUGCACCUUAAAGAUGUGUUUUUGCCAAAUCAGGAUCCACAGACUAUUAAUGAAAAUAACACUCUCACUUCAAGUCUACACACUGAGCAGCACUUGUAAGAAUCCUCUUCCCGGAUGCUGUUUUCGUGCCAGACGAGAGGCCGCGCUAGCACUGGGGUUUUAUCUGUGUUCAGCGCAAAUACAGCAAGGUGUGCAAAACAAACAACAGGAUAACAGAGGAGAGUGCAAGCAAACAGCAUGGGCUGCACAUUUCUGAGAGAAAUGCCCCAGGUAUGGAAGUGCCUGAGAGGUUAAAAAAUCACAUGUCAGCCACAUGUGUCCCAUCCUGUGAAAGGGUAAUUAUGACAGGUGUUGGAGUAAAUUUGCUUUUCAAGAAAGAAGCUACACCUUGCUCUUUUUUUUUUUUUUUUUGAGGUAUCUUUUUAAACAAUCCCUACACAUAACGUGAGGCUCGAACUCACAACCUUGAGAUCAAGAGUCGCAUUCUCUAGAGACUGAGCCAACCAGGCACCCCAAAGCUAUACCUUACUUAAUGCAUAUGCUGAAUUAAUCAAGAUGUGGCUGAGCCAUCCAAACCGUUAAAAGUAAUUACUUGAUUAAACUUAACAUCUUUUUUUUUUAAAUUUUUUUUUUCAACGUUUAUUUAUUUUUGGGACAGAGAGAGACAGAGCAUGAACGGGGGAGGGGCAGAGAGAGAGGGAGACACAGAAUCGGAAACAGGCUCCAGGCUCCGAGCCAUCAGCCCAGAGCCUGACGCGGGGCUCGAACUCACGGACCGCGAGAUCGUGACCUGGCUGAAGUCGGACGCUUAACCGACUGAGCCACCCAGGCGCCCCAAACUUAACAUCUUUCUAUGCCUCACUCGCAAAUGUGACCCAGAAAUCUGGGUUUCGUGGAGAAGCCUCCUGAAGAUCCGGCAGUCUGAUCAUCUUUCAGGUGUGGCUAAAGGAGAUGUUAAGAACUGGUAACCAAAGAAACUAUGCAUGUUUAUGCCUUGAACCUCUCAAACAUUAGGAACAUGUUUAUCAAUAUUUUUCUUCGUUUAUUUACACCUCAACACUCUAGGAUAUGUUUGGAUAUUUAGCAAUCCCUUAGGGAGUAGUGUAGCAAUGUGUUUGAAUUCACAAUUCACAGUUCAUAACAUGUCCUGGUUUUAAAAACUCUUAUUGUGUGCCGGGUGCAAGCAUAUAAAUAUAAGUAAAAAUGAUCUCUGCUCUCAAAUACUCUGGAGAAAGUAGAAAUGAAGAGAUGAAAACAAAAUUACAUUUCGUCCUCUUUUCAUUAAAAAAUAAUCAAAUACUCACAAGUAGAUUAUGUGUAUUUUCCAUAACACUUCACAUUUUUUCAGACACACCAAUACUAAAUAGUUUUAUGUAUUAUAGUAACUGCUUUCAUUUGUAUUUAUAGAAGAAAAUAGACGGGCUUAAAUGUGGCUUUACUGUUGACUCGCUGUGACUCUCAACCAGCUCUUUAACAUCUUUGAAUCUGCAAAAUGGAGUUUCUAACAUUCACCUGGGAGGUUUGCCAAGCUCUGAAGUGCAUGGAGAACCUAGCGCUGUGUCAGACAUCAAGCAGCUGUUCAAUAAAUGGCAGCUAUUACUUACAGCUAUUUUGUGUUGAUAGUUCGGAGACUCAUCCAGUUUCAAGCACAAGGCAUUUCGGCAUCAUUUCAGAUAACUUUUGGCCAUUCAAAAAUCUGUCUACUGAGAAUUUUUCUAAUUUUUUUGGUACCACUUUAUAAUGAUCAUCAUGUAAACAUAUAAAGGGACUUAGAAAACAUAUGUAUGUUAUAAAACCGGUAAAACAUGUGACCCAAACAUCCAAGAUAGAGAAUUAAAACAUCACCAAUGGUAUUAAGUCUUUUUUGAGAGCUCUUAAUGUUAAGAUAAGUAGCAACACUUACUGGGGUGCCUGGGUGGCUCAGUGGCCUGCCUUGUGGUUUCGGCUCAGGUUAUGAUCUCACGGUGCCAAGACCACUUGGGAUUCUCUCUUCCUUCUCUCCUCUUUCUCUGUCCCUCCCCCGUUCUCGCUCUCUCUCUCUCAAUAAUAAAUAAACAUUAAAGAGAUAAAUAAAUAAAUAUACCCUGGAUCCCAUUUAUUGGAAGGUUAGGCUGAAUCCAUUGUUUCUGUUGGAACCAUGCUCUUGUAUAAAAUAGAGUAAGAUUGCAUUUAUUAGCACUUUGUAAAUUUAGGUACGCCAGGGAAUAUUGUCUUAUUUAACAUUACUUAGUUACCUGAAAGAUAUAAUGUUAGAAACUAAUACUUUUACAGAAGACUGACAUUAAUGACUGGUUAUACUUCCCUUAAGAGCUUAACAAUCUUGAUGAAUAAAAAAUUCUCUUCUGAAGAAGAAAUAAGAAAACACUUUAGAAGGUAAACAGUUGACAGAGGACUCUUUCCCUGUCUAGUAACCCAAAGCGACCAUCAUAAUCACCAAUUAAUAUCUAUACAAGUAUCUAUCACAGAAGAGAGUUCCAGGUAAUGGCAAAGACUUGCUAUGUUCAAGGAGAACAAAAAUUUCCUCCGAACAGUCCCAAAAAAACUUCUUACAUAAGGUUGACAAAUGCUGGAGUAAAAACAUGAAGUAAGAAAAUGCUGAAGUAAAAACAUAUGAGUAUUGGAAAGGAAGCUUACAUCUUAUUUAGCUUCAAUGUUAAAAAUGCAGAGAAACAUCAGGUUUGAGUAUAAUAUAAUGCAUGUAUUUUUGGUUGCCUGUUGUGGCCACUAAUUAAAAUUUUUGUAUUUAGCUGCCCUCUUCCUGAAUUCUUUUAAAACCUUCCCGAAAAAGCAUUUUUUGUUUUGUUUGUUUGUUUUUCCAUUCCAACACACACAUAGCCAUAGUGUACCCUUUCUUAAACCAUAAGCUUAGGGACAAUAAAAGUGAUGUGUUCUCUGUAGUCGUGUAAAUGACAAAUAGUGCCAUGCCGGAGCAACAGUAAUAAUCAGAUGUUCAAAUCGUGCGAUCGGGAGUAUUAUAAUCAAAAGUGAAUCCCUGUGAAUUUGGUGCUCUCUAAAGGAGUAAUGAAUUACGCACAGGUGAGAGCACUAUUUGUGUUUUUUAUCUUAAGCAUUACUCAUUUUAUUAUUUUGAUAAGAGAUGUACUGAUAGAUAGAGAUGUUAAAGAAAGCUCUUGGGGCACCUGGGUGGCUCCUUUGGUUAAACAUCUGACUCUUGAUUUUGGCUCAGGUCAUGAUUUCAUGGUUUGUGAGUUUGAGCCCUGGGUCAGUAGUGCAGAGCCUGCUUGGGAUUCUCUCUCUCUCCCUCUCUGUCUGCCCCUCCCCCACUGGCUCUUGCAUUCUCUCUCAAAAUAAACAAAAUUUGAAGGAAAAAAUAAAAAAUGAAAAGCUCUUAGCAGAUAGGAAAAUCUUUUUGCUUUUAUUUUUUGUUAGAAAUCUUUCAUGUAGUUCCUCUCCUGGCCAUCCCCAAACACCCCCAUCCCAUUCCAUAAACACACACACGCACAGGCACACACUGGUGCCUCUUCAGUCUGGCCUGUGCUGCCUGGGGGGCUUUUGGGUCAGCUGUGAUAUCCUGAAGGGUGUGUGAAAUUGAAGACAAACAUUUUUACUAGGAGUUUAUAGCCUUAACAAAGUAAACUGUAAGCCCUGCAGGUGUCCUUAAUGGUAGGAACAAAGGCCUGUGGUGUAGCAAAAAGAGACCUGGAUUUUGAAUUAGAAGGAGCUGUCCUUGCAUUCCAAGUUCAAGAGAUGGGUGAACUUCGGCAAUCGUUUUCUCUCUCAGAGUCUAGGUUCACCAUGAGUCAGAUUAGGGGACAACGGAGGCUUAACCCGAUUACCUCUAAAGUAUUAAAUGCUUAGAAAUCAAAGAAUGAAACUAUAUCUCCAAUGAAGUCAUAAUUGCUUUGGGUGAUUUUUUUUCCUUUUGUUUUUAAUAAUUAAGUUGCCUUUAAAAACAAACCAAAAAGAGAGCAAGAGCCAGUACAAAAGAGAGAGAGGGAGAAAGAGAGAAAGAGAAAUUAUCUAAAUAUAAAUAUUUCUCUUUUCAAGACGCCAAAAGAUGAUGGUGGCAUUUUGGUGCCUCUUCAGAGCAAAGGAAUUCUUAGUUCCUUAUUACUCUAAAAUAAUUCAUUUUUAAAAUAUUUAAUAAAAAGUUUUCCUAAACCACUGAGAUUUUAUACAUUAUUGUAUAAAAUAUUGUAUAAAUAAUGUAUAAUAAUUAUACAUUAUUAAUUAUGAAAUUUUAUAUCAUGCAUUUUAGUUUACAUGCAAGAUCACACUUCCUUACCCAGCACUGAUCUCACUCUAUUAGAAAAGUCUAAUAGACUGACUGACUGACCGUCUGACUGACCGGUGGGGAAAGGAGGCUCCGAGAGGUUAGGACUUGGCCAAGGCUUUAGAGACUCACAGAGCCAUGCCUGAACACAGACAUCUCCUAAUGUUGGGUCUUAUGUAAAUGUCAGUGUAAUUAAACUGAAAUUAUUUAAUUCAAGACUGCCAUAUCAUCAAGUGACAUUUCACCUUGGAAGGAGUCAAGAAGUUUAUUUCAUUUGUAGUUUGAAGUUUAGAUUCCUUGAGUCUAUAAAAUGGUUCUAUAACUGGUCAUCAUUUGAGCUGAAAGAUCGGUACAUCAAUUCGAAGGUUGGGAGUGUCCUUUGAUGAGUAGUAUAGAACCCAAGAAAUCAUUCAUAGAAAAAAAGAAAGGAAAAGGAAAGGAAAUAAAGCACAUUUCUUCAGAAUUUUGGAGCCCUUGUCUCCUAAUUGAAGAAUGAGAAUCCCGGAAUUAAUACGAAUAUUUAACUUGCAAGGUUGUUUGUAAGCGUUAAAAGUAAUUAUAUAAAGCUCCUGCUAUGUAGUGCUUUACAAUAUAAGCACUUCAAUAAACAGUGACAAUGGCUAAUAGGGUUCAUUUCCUUUCAAGUUAUUGCUAGGUCUAUACUGUGAUACAUUGUACUAUUUAAUAUAAGAAACCUAAUGUAAGUAUAGGGAGAGUUCUGUCAGUGGCAGAGCAGAGAUCCGUUGUAACUCUGAGCUCCUAUUAUUGUAAUUGAUAUUUUCCAAUGUGUUCUACCUAUUAGAGAUUCUAAUUAUGGGAGUGAAAUAGACACUAUUGUCUUCAUACAUGUGAUCUGUUAUCUGAAUAUAUACAUGUGCUGCAAACAAGUUUCAAAACAGAACCUUCCCACGGGCAUAAAGGAAAAUGCUGGUCUUUCCGAUGCUAAACAAUGCCAGAAGGAGCCCCGCACUGGUAACAAUAGUAACAAUAGCAGUAAUAGCAGCAAUCCUUUUUAAAGCAUCUACUGUAUUCCAGGCACUGUAAGCCACACUGUGGAAAGUUGCCUAUAACCUUAGGACACUGGAGAUCAUGGCCCUGUGAAGGUGCCAAGGCUGGGUGACACAGCACUGUGUUGUGUAGCUGAAGUAUCCAUGAAAGACUGCAAAACUUUUCUACGUGGCAGGUGUAUCAU
rnacentral:lncRNA from 1 species